GUUUGUUUGAUUCAUCUGAAAAUUUCUGGGCUGAUAGAUCUUGACCUAAUGAACAUUUUUACCCAUGUCAGAUUUGCUCUAAAUGCUUCCGUUUUUGAGAUAUAAGCCAAAAACUGCAUUUGACCCCUAUGUUCUAUUUUAAGUAACGGCGGCCAUGUUUUUUGACGGAUCAAAAAUCGAAGCACACACUUUGUGCAGGAUAAUCUAAGGAACAAUCAUUUUAAGUUUCAUUCAAAUCCAUUCAGUAGUUUCAGAGGAGAAGAUGUUUGAAAAAUUGUUAACGACGACAGACGACGACGACGACGACGGACGCCAAGUGAUGAGAAAAGCUCACAUGGCCUUUUAGGCCAGGUGAGCUAAAAAUGGGAGAAAAUAUAGGACAGAGAAAUACACUAAUAAUAGCUAACAAAAAGUAUCAGGUUUAAAAUUUUAUACGCCAGACGUGCGUUUCGUUACAUUUUUACUUGCAGAUGAUACCGUAGUUAAUUUGGCUUUUUAAUCGAACUUUCAUGUCUCUACAGUACAAAAAGAUCUCAUGGGAAACUAUGCUGGUAAAGGCAUUCCACCCAGACAAUUAUGCAAUGUCAUCCCAGACACCAGAUUAAAAAAGCAAUCUUAUAUAACUACACGUUGUUCAACCACAC
rnacentral:lncRNA from 1 species